rnacentral:rRNA from 1 species
GAUGAACGCUGGCGGCGUGCCUAAUACAUGCAAGUCGAGCGAACAGACGAGGAGCUUGCUCCUUUGACGUUAGCGGCGAACGGGUGAGUAACACGUGGGUAACCUACCUAUAAGACUGGGAUAACUUCGGGAAACCGGAGCUAAUACCGGAUAAUAUUUCGAACCGCAUGGUUCGAUAGUGAAAGAUGGCUUUGCUAUCACUUAUAGAUGGACCUGCGCCGUAUUAGCUAGUUGGUAAGGUAACGGCUUACCAAGGCAACGAUACGUAGCCGACCUGAGAGGGUGAUCGGCCACACUGGAACUGAGACACGGUCCAGACUCCUACGGGAGGCAGCAGUAGGGAAUCUUCCGCAAAGGGCGAAAGCCUGACGGAGCAACGCCGCGUGAGUGAUGAAGGUCUUCGGAUCGUAAAACUCUGUUAUUAGGGAAGAACAAACGUGUAAGUAACUGUGCACGUCUUGACGGUACCUAAUCAGAAAGCCACGGCUAACUACGUG